rnacentral:lncRNA from 1 species
GCGGGGGGCGGGCGCGCGCUGCGGCCGCGCCGCGUCACGCACCGCCCGCCCCGCCCCGCCCAGUGUGGGGCCGGGGGGGGCGGGGGGGGCCCCCCCCCCGGGGGGGGGGGGGGGGGGCGCCGGGGUCGACCCCCUUCGUCCCUCCUUUCCUUCCCCCCGCAUCUCCCCGCGUCGAGGGGGCCGCAGCCCGCCCCCUCCGCUGCCGGAAGCAGGGAGGGAAUGGGGACACCGUGGGUCCCGAGGGGCGAGCGGCGGCGGCCGCGGAGCAGCGGCCGAGCCUCGCCGGGGCCCGGCAGCGGCGGUACCGUUAUAGGCGCGCGGGGUGGCGCGAGCGGCUCCCGCACGUGCCGGCGGGGCGGGUCCCUCUGCCAGGCGCGAGGCGCGAGGCGCGGCGCGCGCGGUAACGCCGCGGGGCGGGAGCGCUGAGGGCAGGUGCACCAUGGAACCAUGGAGUGGGAAAAGCUGGGAGGCACCGCAGUCUGGGCCAAAAUGCAGGCGGGGUCAGCCUAGAGCACACGGCUCAGGUUUGCUUCCAGACGGUUCCUGGAUAACCGGGAGACCCCACGAUCUCUCUGGGCGACCUGUUCACUUGCUCACUUCUCCCCCACACCCAGUGUGGGGGGAAACAGAAAAGGAAAAGCAAGGAAACUGUCUCUUGAGACUCAGUAGUGUUUACUGCCAAAGUUCAUUCAUUUGGAUGACAGCCAGGAUAUCUUUGCUUUUAUGCUCUUUGAUGGGACAGUGCAGCUCCUGCUGUGACCUAAGAAACACCUUCAUGAUGAGGCUGACACUUCCAAGACAGCUUCUGAAACUGCUGGAUUGUUGUCCUAUCCCUAGAGUACGUCUCUGCACUGGGUAUUCAGUAAGGAAGAUUCAAGAUUUCUUUUAAAGAACUUUCAAGGCUCACUAACAUGAUUUUUGUGUUAUGAAAUCUAUAUUCCUGGGCAUGUGAAAGUUUCAGUUCAAAUACCCCUGUAUAAUGAGGGACUUUGGAAGCUGGAAGUUGACUGAUAGGAGAGAAGGCACCCUUGUCUCCCAAGCAAAAGCAUUUCUCUGCUGUGGGGAUCACACAGGAGAGUGAAUGUAUUGGAAUUGGAGCCUUAUUACCAGGGCAGGAACAAGUGCACGUUUUUCCUGAUACCCUAGAUGUGGAAAACUAGAUCAUAGAAGAAAAUAAAUAGUAUAAGCUGUCACUUUGUAGUUUGAAC